rnacentral:rRNA from 1 species
GAUGAACGCUGGCGGCGUGCCUAAUACAUGCAAGUCGAGCGAACAGACGAGGAGCUUGCUCCUCUGACGUUAGCGGCGGACGGGUGAGUAACACGUGGAUAACCUACCUAUAAGACUGGGAUAACUUCGGGAAACCGGAGCUAAUACCGGAUAAUAUAUUGAACCGCAUGGUUCAAUAGUGAAAGACGGUUUUGCUGUCACUUAUAGAUGGAUCCGCGCCGCAUUAGCUAGUUGGUAAGGUAACGGCUUACCAAGGCAACGAUGCGUAGCCGACCUGAGAGGGUGGUCGGCCACACUGGAACUGAGACACGGUCCAGACUCCUACGGGAGGCAGGAGUAGGGAAUCUUCCGCAAUGGGCGAAAGCUUGACGGAGCAACGCCGCGUGAGUGAUGAAGGUCUUCGGAUCGUAAAACUCUGUUAUUAGGGAAGAACAAAUGUGUAAGUAACUAUGCACGUCUUGACGGUACCUAAUCAGAAAGCCACGGCUAACUACGUG